AGCUACACAUGCAAGUCGAGCGGUAGCACAGAGAGCUUGCUCUCGGGUGACGAGCGGCGGACGGGUGAGUAAUGUCUGGGAAACUGCCUGAUGGAGGGGGAUAACUACUGGAAACGGUAGCUAAUACCGCAUAACGUCGCAAGACCAAAGUGGGGGACCUUCGGGCCUCAUGCCAUCAGAUGUGCCCAGAUGGGAUUAGCUAGUAGGUGGGGUAACGGCUCACCUAGGCGACGAUCCCUAGCUGGUCUGAGAGGAUGACCAGCCACACUGGAACUGAGACACGGUCCAGACUCCUACGGGAGGCAGCAGUGGGGAAUAUUGCACAAUGGGCGCAAGCCUGAUGCAGCCAUGCCGCGUGUGUGAAGAAGGCCUUCGGGUUGUAAAGCACUUUCAGCGGGGAGGAAGGCGGUAAGGUUAAUAACCUUAUCGAUUGACGUUACCCGCAGAAGAAGCACCGGCUAACUCCGUGCCAGCAGCCGCGGUAAUACGGAGGGUGCAAGCGUUAAUCGGAAUUACUGGGCGUAAAGCGCACGCAGGCGGUCUGUCAAGUCGGAUGUGAAAUCCCCGGGCUCAACCUGGGAACUGCAUUCGAAACUGGCAGGCUAGAGUCUUGUAGAGGGGGGUAGAAUUCCAGGUGUAGCGGUGAAAUGCGUAGAGAUCUGGAGGAAUACCGGUGGCGAAGGCGGCCCCCUGGACAAAGACUGACGCUCAGGUGCGAAAGCGUGGGGAGCAAACAGGAUUAGAUACCCUGGUAGUCCACGCCGUAAACGAUGUCGAUUUGGAGGUUGUGCCCUUGAGGCGUGGCUUCCGGAGCUAACGCGUUAAAUCGACCGCCUGGGGAGUACGGCCGCAAGGUUAAAACUCAAAUGAAUUGACGGGGGCCCGCACAAGCGGUGGAGCAUGUGGUUUAAUUCGAUGCAACGCGAAGAACCUUACCUGGUCUUGACAUCCACAGAACUUUCCAGAGAUGGAUUGGUGCCUUCGGGAACUGUGAGACAGGUGCUGCAUGGCUGUCGUCAGCUCGUGUUGUGAAAUGUUGGGUUAAGUCCCGCAACGAGCGCAACCCUUAUCCUUUGUUGCCAGCGGUUCGGCCGGGAACUCAAAGGAGACUGCCAGUGAUAAACUGGAGGAAGGUGGGGAUGACGUCAAGUCAUCAUGGCCCUUACGACCAGGGCUACACACGUGCUACAAUGGCAUAUACAAAGAGAAGCGACCUCGCGAGAGCAAGCGGACCUCAUAAAGUAUGUCGUAGUCCGGAUUGGAGUCUGCAACUCGACUCCAUGAAGUCGGAAUCGCUAGUAAUCGUAGAUCAGAAUGCUACGGUGAAUACGUUCCCGGGCCUUGUACACACCGCCCGUCACACCAUGGGAGUGGGUUGCAAAAGAAGUAGGUAGCUUAACCUUCGGGAGGGCGCUACCACUUGAU
rnacentral:rRNA from 1 species